CGGCGGGCGGCGAGCGGCGCGCACAAUCCUCGCUCGGCUGCGGCUCCCGGGUGUCCCAGGCCCGGCCGGUAAGCAGAGCAUGGCGGGUGCGGGCCCGAAGCGGCGCGCGCUAGCGGCCCCGGUGGCCGAGGAGAAGGAAGAGGCGCGGGAGAAGAUGAUGGCCGCCAAGCGCGCGGACGGCGCGGCGCCGGCAGGCGAGGGCGAGGGCGUGACCCUGCAGGGGAACAUCACGCUACUCAAGGGCGUGGCCGUCAUCGUGGUCGCCAUCAUGAGCUCGGGCAUCUUCGUGACGCCCACGGGCGUGCUCAAGGAGGCAGGCUCGCCGGGGCUGGCGCUGGUGGUGUGGGCCGCGUGCGGCGUCUUCUCCAUCGUGGGCGCGCUCUGCUACGCGGAGCUGGGCACCACCAUCUCCAAAUCGGGCGGCGACUACGCCUACAUGCUGGACGUCUACGGCUCGCUGCCCGCCUUCCUCAAGCUCUGGAUCGAGCUGCUCAUCAUCCGGCCUUCAUCGCAGUACAUCGUGGCCCUGGUCUUCGCCACCUACCUGCUCAAGCCGCUCUUCCCCACCUGCCCGGUGCCCGAGGAGGCAGCCAAGCUCGUAGCCUGCCACUCCGUGCGUGAGUACGGGGCGCGGGCCGGGGGUUGGGAGGUCGUAGUCCCUGGGUCCCUGCAUCCUUGCAUCACUACGCCCCUGGCUCCCACAUCUCUACAUUUUUGCGUUCCUGGACCGUCCCGGCAGUUCUAGGCUAAGGUCAUUGGUCCCAGAAACCAAGUGCGUUUCUUUCAUUCAUUCUUUUACACUUCUCCCCACAGGCUGGGAAUAUCUUCAGUGACGGGACAGCAGGGUCCCUGCCCUGCCCUUCGGUGGGCAUUUCAUUCCCCCACUUAAGCGGUUCAGGCAAGUGCCAGCCUCCCGUUGGCCCCGCUGAGCAAUACUCCCAGCCUCUUGCGUGGCACCCACGUGGAGUAACUGAGCAACCGGUUUAUUGUUAAAGCUCCGAUUGCUGACUGGUUGGUGAAAACGAAAUUGCAGUUAAAAAGAAAAUUAUUCAUUUCUGCUCUCCACACCAGCUCGUCAGGAAUCAGUGACACGGGCUGACUCAUAAGAAAACAGUAGUAAUAAAAUCGUGUGCGGGUAGUGACUGGUGCUGGUUUAGGCUAAGGGAUCCCCCCUGAGGGUUGCCCAGUAGUGAGAGAGCGGAGCUUGGCUGCAGAUUCAGUCUGUGUUACAGUGAAUGGAGGUUCGGGUCCCAGGUUACUCUGGGAAACAGCCAUGGGGCUCCUAUUUUGGUGGGCAUGGUGCUGGUGUGUUCUUCACCAGGCCAGAGAGAACUGCUUUUCAAAAUAGUUUUCUUUUCUUUUCUUUUUUUUUUUGAGAUGGAGUCUCACUCUGUCGCCCUGGCUGGAGUGCAGUGGCGCGAUCUCGGCUCACUGCAAGCCCCGCCUCCCGGGUUCACGCCAUUCUCCUGCCUCAGCCUUCCGAGUAGCUGGGGCUACAGGCGCCCGCCACUACGCCCGGCUAAUUUUUUUUGUAUUUUUAGUAGAGACGGGGUUUCACCGUGUUAGCCAGGAUGGUCUCGAUCUCCUGACCUUGUGAUCCGCCCGCCUCGGCCUCCCAAAGUGCUGGGAUUACAGGCGUGAGCCGCCGUGCCCGGCCUCAAAAUAGUUUUCUUGUGGGAUUUCAGGGGGAAAAUGACUUGUACCAGAUACCACAUGAUUUGGUUGGGUGGCGUGGGAAGGCGGGUCUUGGCAAUUCUCAGGUUCAUCCCAUGGCAAGGAUCGGCCUGGAUCUCAGUAGUGUGUGUACACAUUCAAGGUGGGAAGGGUUAAUUUAUAGUUGGGGUCUUGAGCCAUGAAAUCAGGGGAGUGGCUUCUGACUGGCAGGACCUGUUGGCGCUGUUUUCUGCCACACCGUACUUUGGGGAGAAGGGGGAGGGGGAGGCAUUUCUUCAUAAAUGUGAGAAUGCCCCGAGGGCAAGACUCAGCAGGGCUCUGUGUGGUUUCUCUGAGGCUCUGAGCGGAGCAGCCGCACCACCAUGCAGGUCAAAGCCGGGAAAAAUCGUAGGACAGGAGUGGGGAGAGCCUGUGGCUUCCAGCUGGGCGUUGGACAUGUGAAUGUAGGGGAUGACUGAUUUCUUUUUUUUGUCAUUAGAAUUUCACUGGUUCAGUCUCCCUCUCGCCUAGGUACAUGCCCGCCUGGUAUGUAACGACAUGGAUAAUAGCUUAUGCAGCCUGCACUCUUACCUUUAAAAAAUGAAUCCCUGUUGGCUGGGUGUGAUGGCCCACGUCUAUAAUCCCAGCACUAUGGGAGGCCAAGACAGGCAGAUCUACCGAGGUCAGGAGUCCGAGACCAGCCUGACCAACAUGGUGAAACCCCAUCUCUACUAAAAAUACAAAAAUUAGCUGAGCAUAGUGGCUCACGCCUGUAAUCCCAGCUACUUAUGAGUCUGAGGCAUGCUCCGGGACGUGGAGUUUGCAGUGAGUUGAGAUCCUGCCACUGCACUCCAGCCUGGGUGACAGAGCAAGCCUGUCUCAAAAAAAAAAAAAAAAAA